rnacentral:rRNA from 1 species
CCUACGGGAGGCAGCAGUGGGGGAUAUUGCACAAUGGGGGGAACCCUGAUGCAGCGACGCCGCGUGGGUGAAGAAGCGCCUCGGCGCGUAAAGCCCUGUCAGCAGGGAAGAAAAUGACGGUACCUGUAGAAGAAGCCCCGGCUAACUACGUGCCAGCAGCCGCGGUAAUACGUAGGGGGAACGCGUUAUCCGGAUUUACUGGGUGUAAAGGGGGCGCAGACGGCGAUGCAAGCCAGGAGUGAAAGCCCGGGGCCCAACCCCGGGACGGCUCUUGGAACUGAGUGGCUGGAGUGCAGGAGGGGCAGGCGGAAUUCCUGGUGUAGCGGUGAAAUGCGUAGAGAGCAGGAGGAACACCGGUGGCGAAGGCGGCCGGCUGGACUGCAACUGACGUUGAGGCCCGAAAGCGUGGGGAGCAAACAGGAUUAGAUACCCGGGUAGUC